rnacentral:rRNA from 1 species
GAUGAACGCUGGCGGUAUGCUUAACACAUGCAAGUCGAACGGGAUAUCUUCGGAUAUUUAGUGGCGGACGGGUGAGUAACGCGUGAGGACAUGCCCUUAGGUUCGGGACAACAGUUGGAAACGACUGCUAAUACCGAAUGUGCCGAGAGGUGAAAGAUUAAUUGCCUAGGGAUUGGCUCGCGUCAGAUUAGCUAGUUGGUAGAGUAACGGUUUACCAAGGCGACGAUCUGAACUGGUCUGAGAGGAUGACCAGUCACACUGGGACUGAGACACGGCCCAGACUCCUACGGGAGGCAGCAGUGGGGAAUUUUCCGCAAUGGGCGAAAGCCUGACGGAGCAAUACCGCGUGAGGGAGGACGGCUCUUGGGUUGUAAACCUCUUUUUAUCAGGGAAGAAGAUCUGACGGUACCUGAUGAAUCAGCAUCGGCUAACUCCGUGCCAGCAG